AUUAAAUGAGAGGACUGAUGGGUGGACAAUGAAAAAUUAAUCUUAUUUUAAACGUUUGAAAUGAAAUAAUUUUGAUUUCAACCAGGAAUAAAUAGGAUUAGUCUGCCCAUUUAUAAUCGAGCGUUUCUAUUUUACAUAAUAAGUAGAUUUAUCCCAUCUAAACGGGAAGUAACACUCCCUCC
rnacentral:sRNA from 1 species